rnacentral:siRNA from 1 species
CUAGAGAAGACUCAGAGGGGUCCU